rnacentral:rRNA from 1 species
CCCUGUAUCUGGUUGAUCCUGCCAGUAGUCAUACGCUCGUCUCAAAGAUUAAGCCAUGCAUGUGUAAGUAUAAAUAGUUAACUUUGAAACUGCGAAUCGCUCAUCUAUAUCAGUUAUAGUUUAUUUGAUGAAGAAUACUAAUUGGAUAACCGUAGUAAUUCUAGAGCUAAUACAUGUAUAAAGUCUUGUAGACUGCAUUUAUUAGAAUGAAAACCAUAGGUUUCGGCCUAUUCGUGAGUAAUAAUAACUAAUCAUAUCGUAUGCUUAUGUAACGAUGUGUCUUUCAAGUUUCUGCCCUAUCAGCUUUCGAUGGUAGUGUAUUGGACUACCAUGGCAGUAACGGGCAACGAAGAAUUUGGGUUCGAUUUCGGAGAGGGAGCCUGAGAGAUGGCUACCACAUCCAAGGAAGGCAGCAGGCGCGUAAAUUACCCAAUCCUGACACUGCCAGUAUCUGGUUGAUCCUGCCAGUAGUUUACGGCAUUGUUGCAGUUGUACCAGGUAUACAUGACGUUGCCGAUCUAGUAGUCACCCCAUCCAUAUUCAGGUGGCAGCUGGCAAAUACAGGCGUACCUCGCGAGCCGC